GGGAGAGGAAAGUCCGAGCUCCACAGGGCACGGUGCUGGGUAACGCCCAGUCACGGUGACGGGAAGGAAAGUGCCACAGAAAGCAAACCGCCGGGGGGAACCCUGGUUUCCCGCGGUAAGGGUGAAAGGGUGAGGUAAGAGCUCACCAGCUCCAGUGGUGACAUUGGAGGCUAGGUAAACCCCACCUGGAGCAAGACCGAAUAGGAGAGCGCCAAGGGUGGCCCGUCCAAGCUCUCGGGUAGGUCGCUUGAGGUCUCGAGUAAUCGAGGCCCUAGAUGAAUGAUCAUUGCUCCUUGGGGAGUGAUCUCCGAGGGAUACAGAACUCGGCUUAUGACCUGCUCUAUUCU
rnacentral:RNase_P_RNA from 1 species